rnacentral:lncRNA from 1 species
AGCUCGCGGACAACCACUACCUGUUAAUAAAAGUCCCAGUUAGUGCUCAUUAUGUUUCAUAGGAUUGAGGGGGGAAUAGAUGUAUUUCAUUUACGACCACAAUGAUCUACAGCUUGACAUAAGGUCAUCUCAGAGGAAAAUAAAGGUUUGAGAAAAUACAGGAAAAAAAUUAAGAACACAAGGAAAAUGAGAACGGAUGAAACAAAAAGAAAAGGUACUCCAACAAACUUGCUCAAUGACUCCAUCGAAAGAUAAAAUUUCCGCCAAACUCGACCGGUAAAUAUCAAUCUACAUAUUUUUUGAAGAGAAAAUAAAAAGUAAAUCAUAUAAAAUUUGGAUUAGAUCCAACAAAGGAUCCUUCUUCUAUACAAGGAUAUAUAUUUAUAUACUUAAUUAGCCAUAUUCAGAAUUUCACAGAGACAACUUGUACCUACUACAUGUGCACACUUACUUUAGAAAUUAACAAAAAGGGCAUCAUAUAGCUCGUUUGCGUCGACAUUGAUCCCACCGUGCAACCUCCUUCUUGUAUUGCUCUCCCACCGCUACGGCGCCAAAUUGUCAUGACCCUAUAUUGCAAACGGGCAAGGACUGAUUAGAUUAAGGGGAUCAAGGGGGGCAUAAGAUUAGAGCCAAAAAAAAUAACGGUGGAUGGGCAUACAACUAACCCCUGGUUGUAGAGGCUCGAGGAUGGAUAGAUAGAUGUGUCAAGUCAGGCGCUGCUACCGAUUAUAUGGCUACGAAAAGGGCAGCCAUGCCAGCCAUGCACCUUUGGCCGUCGGCAAAAGAUGUUUCUCACCGGACGACGAGGGGAAACGGCACGGACCGCCAUGAGCACCGCCGGCUACCAUGGAGACGAGCUUCCCCCCUACCUGCAUGUGGAUCCAGAAGCAUAUAGUUAGAACAUUACAGGUGAUAAUAGAACACCUUGAAGCGAGGGACAAUCAUCCAGGAAAACAAAAUACUUCACCUAGCGAUAGUUGCAUGCUCUGCCGCCGGCGCGAGACACGGUCAAUACUAUGUAGGCGUGUGUGCGUCCGUCGAGAGGGAAGGGCGCGUGAAGAGCAGAGGGAGGGAGUCGACGCCGCGGAGGCGAGAAGGGCGGCCAGCCGUGCGGCGCGGUGCCAUGGCCGCCGGCAGCAGACGAACGAGGUUGGGGCAAGGGAUGAGAGGUUGAGCCAGAUCUAUUCUAGGAUCCCAGGGCAGAGAGGGAUGAUAUGUGUUGGGGGGAGGAGGCGGCGGUGCAGCCCAUAUGCGUGUCGACGCAUGUACUACGAGAGGAGAGACGCCCUGACCGGCCAAGGUAUUUUCGUUUCUUUUUUACGUGACAAAAAAGAUACUACAGUAUAUGUGGUACAGUAUGGUUUUAUAUUUAUAUUACUGUACUUUCCAAAAACAAAGGAAAGGAAUACGUCCACGGCACGCUGGCCCGCAGUCCGGCACGCACCACCACAUCUCUUUGUGGAGACCGGCCAACAGGUGCGCAGAAAAAGAAAGGAGGAGACGCGGCCAACGAGGUCACAUCGCAGGCCACACCAUGCAGUCGGGUACUACGUCCAAGCUUAUUUUUUGUAUCUUCUCAAUACAAUUGCUCGUGGUGGGUGGGGACUAGUACCACUACAGCCUGGUGGACAUAAAUUACAGAGCACGAUCUUCUGCGUAGCAAGCACUGCAGCCCUUGCUGCGGCGAGCAUGCAUGCAGCCCGGCAGCCCCUGUACCUCACCGACGAGGGGGAGAGAUUGGACAAACACCGUACCGACGACGGGGGGUGAUUCCACAAAGGAAAGGUAGGGGGCUUGAGGUGAGGCAACCAGAACAAUGAGCGACCAAAACCGUUUUAAACCUCGUUAAUCUUGUGUAAUGGGUAUGAGCUGUGACGACGAACACAUCUCACUCACCAGCGUUUAAAACAACAACGGCGAUGAUCGGGGGGCUACAACGGAGAGAUCACGUCGACUAUAUCUCAGACAUGUGUCGUAUCGUUCAAUCUUGACGAUGAUAAUGACGUCAUGGAGUAUGUACAUGGUCAUGGGCUCGAUCAACAUACGCAAACAUGGUGGUGAUGGCAUAUGUUGGAUUCGUUCAAUGAUAAUGAUGAUGAGGGUUCUCAAAAAGCUAGAGUCUCGGUCUCGGCAAGGCUCGGCAUGGAGGUUGAACAAGGCAAGCCCAAGCCGAGUAGCCAAGCUCGGUGAGCCGUCUCGGUGAAGCUAGGGCCACUCAAGAAACUCACACCAACUAGUUCAGGAAAAAUCAGCAGUCAAAUAUAAAUAUUGUCUUUAAAGUACAAUUUUGAUCACUGAUUUGUGUUGUAUAUCUUGAAAGUGUUUCAAUGGACAAAUUUAAGCAUAUGUUUCGAAGUACCCAGCGAGAGAGCAUAAUACAAGAACAGGAUAAUAAGAAUAUUGUUAGAUAGAUUAACCAAACUUACCGACGAUAACUGCACACCUUGUCGAAAGUCACUUCCCGUCUAGAGCUCACCGACAGGUGACAACCAAACUACCUAUCAAUGAUGAAGAAAAUCAAGUUAGUGCACCGAACCCAGCUGCUACACAUCACCUCCGCCCGCUAAAGAGCAUGUUGGUGCCUUAAUCCAGUGAAGCCAAAGAAGAUGAUCAAUUCCUACCAUGUAAAAUUCCUAUACCUAUUCGUGCGUCCAAAACAAACCAGUGGCCCUUUAAAUCCUAUAUAUAAGCAUUUUCACUUGAUUUUUAGAGAUUCAGACAUCCAAAUCAAAGAACUGGAAUCCUUACAAAAUUUUCCUACGGAUUAUUUUGCAAUACAUUAGGUGAACUCUUUUUUGCCAAUCCUAUAAGAUUCAAGAGUGCGAGUGCGUGACAUUGCACUUUUGGUGUUCAUGUGUUCUAGAAAUUAAUCCUGUGGGUCAAAGGAGCCACAAAGGUUCCAUAAUGGAUCAAGAAAUCAUGAUAUACCUACGAGAUUAUCGUGAACAGGACACAAUGAAACUGGCAGUCGAAAAUAGUAUUAAGACUAUACUUACUUCUCCUGUCUCUAGAAUACUGGUAAAUCUCUUUUUUGGACGAGAAAUUUAAAUGAAGCAAUAUUACUUAGGAUCUAGAUGGAACGAUCCUUCUUCUAUAAAAAUCAAAUAAAGUCAUAUGUUUAUUUACUUCACCAUGGAUAUAUCCUUUGUUCAUCGACAUAUUUGAUGCCACCGUGCUCGCGCUCUCCUUUGGGUAUCUCUCUUCCACUGCUACGGUGGCAUGGCAGAGAGGAGCAGCAUGAACUCUAAAUAGCAAGCGGGCUGCAGAGGAUAAAAU